rnacentral:rRNA from 1 species
AUACGGAGGAUCCAAGCGUUAUCCGGAAUCAUUGGGUUUAAAGGGUCCGUAGGCGGGUUUGUAAGUCAGUGGUGAAAGUUUUCGGCUCAACCGGAAAAUUGCCAUUGAUACUGCAAGUCUUGAAUCAUUAUGAAGUGGUUAGAAUGUGUAGUGUAGCGGUGAAAUGCAUAGAUAUUACACAGAAUACCGAUUGCGAAGGCAGAUCACUAAUAAUGUAUUGACGCUAAGGGACGAAAGCGCGGGUAGCGAACAGGAUUAGAAACCCUAGUAGUCC